UGCGAAGUAGAGCAGCGGUAGCUCGUCGGGCUCAUAACCCGAAGGUCACUGGUUCGAUCCCGGUCUUCGCAA
rnacentral:tRNA from 1 species